GAUGAACGCUGGCGGCGUGCCUAAUACAUGCAAGUCGAGCGAACGGACGAGAAGCUUGCUUCUCUGAUGUUAGCGGCGGACGGGUGAGUAACACGUGGAUAACCUACCUAUAAGACUGGGAUAACUUCGGGAAGCCGGAGCUAAUACCGGAUGAUAUUUUGAACCGCAUGGUUCAAAAGUGAAAGACGGUCUUGCUGUCACUUAUAGAUGGAUCCGCGCUGCAUUAGCUAGUUGGUAAUGUAACGGCUUACCAAGGCAACGAUGCAUAGCCGACCUGAGAGGGUGAUCGGCCACACUGGAACUGAGACACGGUCCAGACUCCUACGGGAGGCAGCAGUAGGGAAUCUUCCGCAAUGGGCGAAAGCCUGACGGAGCAACGCCGCGUGAGUGAUGAAGGUCUUCGGAUCGUAAAACUCUGUUAUUAGGGAAGAACAUAUGUGUAAGUAACUGUGCACAUCUUGACGGUACCUAAUCAGAAAGCCACGGCUAACUACGUG
rnacentral:rRNA from 1 species